rnacentral:rRNA from 1 species
AUCGCUGAUACAGCUUCCAUGCUGGAACUGCAGGAAGCUGGAAACGCCCCGGCGCCAUAGGAUGUGGCUGCGGCCGAUUAGGUAGACGGUGGGGUAACGGCCCACCGUGCCAGUAAUCGGUACGGGUGAUGAGAGUCAGCGCCCGGAGACGGUAUCUGAGACAAGAUACCGGGCCCUACGGGGCGCAGCAGGCGCGAAACCUUUACACUGCACGCCAGUGCGAUAAGGGGACUCCGAGUGCGAGGGCAUAUAGUCCUCGCUUUUCUGUACCGUAAGGUGGUACAGGAACAAGUGCUGGGCAAGACCGGUGCCAGCCGCCGCGGUAAUACCGGCAGCACGAGUGAUGGCCGAUUUUAUUGGGCCUAAAGCGUCCGUAGCCCGCCAGUCAAGUCUGUUGGGAAAUCCACGUGCUUAACACGUGGGCGUCCAGCGGAAACUGUCUGGCUUGGGGCCGGAAGACUCGAGGGGUACGUCUGGGGUAGGAGUGAAAUCCCAUAAUCCUGGACGGACCACCGAUGGCGAAAGCACCUCGAGAGAACGGACCCGACGGUGAGGGACGAAAGCCAGGGUCUCGAACCGGAUUAGAUACCCGGGUAGUCCUGGCCGUAAACGAUGUCUGCUAGGUGUGGCGCAGGCUACGGGCCUGCGCUGUGCCGUAGGGAAGCCGUGAAGCAGACCGCCUGGGAAGUACGUCCGCAAGGAUGAAACUG